rnacentral:hammerhead_ribozyme from 1 species
AUCCAGCUGACCAGUCUCAAAUAAGACGAAAUGCACAUCCUGGAU